rnacentral:rRNA from 1 species
UGCAAGUCGAGCGGAAACGAUGGUAGCUUGCUACCAGGCGUCGAGCGGCGGACGGGUGAGUAACGCGUGAGAAUCUGCCCAUUUGUGGGGGAUAACUCGGGGAAACUCGAGCUAAUACCGCAUAAUCCCUACGGGGGAAAGCAGGGGACCUUCGGGCCUUGUGCAGAUGGAUGAGCUCGCGUCGGAUUAGCUUGUUGGUGAGGUAAAGGCUCACCAAGGCGACGAUCCGUAGCUGGUCUGAGAGGAUGAUCAGCCACACCGGGACUGAGACACGGCCCGGACUCCUACGGGAGGCAGCAGUGGGGAAUCUUGGACAAUGGGGGCAACCCUGAUCCAGCCAUGCCGCGUGUGUGAAGAAGGCCUUCGGGUUGUAAAGCACUUUCAGUAGGGAGGAAGGCUUACCGCUAAUAACGGUGAGUACUUGACGUUACCUACAGAAGAAGCACCGGCUAAUUUCGUGCCAGCAGCCGCGGUAAUACGAAAGGUGCGAGCGUUAAUCGGAAUUACUGGGCGUAAAGCGCGCGUAGGCGGUUUGUUAAGUCAGAUGUGAAAGCCCCGGGCUCAACCUGGGAAUUGCAUUUGAAACUGGCAGGCUAGAGUGCAGUAGAGGGAGGUGGAAUUUCCGGUGUAGCGGUGAAAUGCGUAGAGAUCGGAAGGAACACCAGUGGCGAAGGCGGCCUCCUGGACUGACACUGACGCUGAGGUGCGAAAGCGUGGGGAGCAAACAGGAUUAGAUACCCUGGUAGUCCACGCCGUAAACGAUGUCUACUAGUCGUUGGGAAUCUUAGUAUUCUUGGUGACGAAGUUAACGCGAUAAGUAGACCGCCUGGGGAGUACGGCCGCAAGGUUAAAACUCAAAUGAAUUGACGGGGGCCCGCACAAGCGGUGGAGCAUGUGGUUUAAUUCGAUGCAACGCGAAGAACCUUACCAGGCCUUGACAUCCUUGGACUUUCUAGAGAUAGAUUGUGCCUUCGGGAGCCAGUGACAGGUGCUGCAUGCUGUCGUCAGCUCGUGUCGUGAGAUGUGGGAUUAGUCCCGUACGAGCGCACCCUUGUCCUAGUGCCAGCACUUCGGGGACUCUAGGAGACUGCCGGUGACAACCGGAAGAGGUGGGGACACGCUCAAGUCAUACUAUGCGGCUUACGGGCGUGCCUACCCACCGGCUCACUAUGGGGCGGUACAAAAAGGGCAGCGGAAAUUUCUAC